AUUGAACGCUGGCGGCAGGCCUAACACAUGCAAGUCGAACGGUAACAGGAAGAAGCUUGCUUCUUUGCUGACGAGUGGCGGACGGGUGAGUAAUGUCUGGGAAACUGCCUGAUGGAGGGGGAUAACUACUGGAAACGGUAGCUAAUACCGCAUAACGUCGCAAGACCAAAGAGGGGGACCUUCGGGCCUCUUGCCAUCGGAUGUGCCCAGAUGGGAUUAGCUAGUAGGUGGGGUAACGGCUCACCUAGGCGACGAUCCCUAGCUGGCCUGAGAGGAUGACCAGCCACACUGGAACUGAGACACGGUCCAGACUCCUACGGGAGGCAGCAGUGGGGAAUAUUGCACAAUGGGCGCAAGCCUGAUGCAGCCAUGCCGCGUGUAUGAAGAAGGCCUUCGGGUUGUAAAGUACUUUCAGCGGGGAGGAAGGGAGUAAAGUUAAUACCUUUACUCAUUGACGUUACCCGCAGAAGAAGCACCGGCUAACUCCGUG
rnacentral:rRNA from 1 species